rnacentral:lncRNA from 1 species
UUUUUUUUUUUUUUUUUUUUUUGAAAUCAUUAAAUAAAGUGUCACCCCAAGCCAGUGCUGUAAACUCUAUUUUGAUUGUGGCUGCAAUAACCCCUUUGGGCGUCAUUCAGAUUGUACUAAACAGUUUCUGCAGAGCGCUGGUUUCUCUCAAAAUAAACCCAAGUCCGGCUUUGACAAGCUCUAAUGAAAAACAAAUUGUUAUAUUACUUAGAAAAAUAAUUUGAAGGAAGUCUGAAUUAGUUGUAAAGGUGGAAAAGGUUCAGCUACUUGAAAAUAGAAAUUUGGAAGGUAUUUAUUUUAACCAUUAAGCCAGUGGCCUUGAAAUACAGCCUUGUUUGUUCCAGAAUGCUCCUAACGAGAGCCAUGAAUCACGCUGUUAAUCAGUAUGGGAACUUGAUUAAUUGGAGAGGGGAGCAGCAGUGACUCCAGCAGGCUGGAGCUGGGCUCCCUCCCCAUCCCAGCACCACGGGGGCUUGGAGGGCAUCCCACAGCCCUGGGCUGUUGGACAGGUGGGAGUCAGGCGUGGCUCUGGGGGUUCUGCAGCGCUGGUUCUGUGCUGGUGCUGGGCUCAGAUGGGGCUGGCUGCCCAUGGAGCAGGGCUUGGAGUGUCUCUGCUUCUCCUGCCCCUGUCAGCUCACCUCUGCUGCUGCUCCUGGCCCUGCUGUUCAGCCUGAGAGGGAGAUGUGACACCAGCCAUGAGAUCAGAUUUGCACAGGAGGCUGCUGGAAAUGCAGCUGAGCCCGGCGGGGAGAAAUGCUGAUGUCUGACUCCAGCUCAGGAGGCUGAAUGAUUUCUGUAUUAUAACUAUGCUAUAACACAUUAAUAUACUAUUUAAAGGAGAUACUAAAACUACAAACCUACUUUUUUUAACUCCCAACUCGUGACCCUCUCUGAGAGUCCAGCCCCAGGUGGGUUGGAUUGGCCACCAGGCUCAAACAAUCCUCACCAGAAUCCAACCAAGCAAUCACCCCAGGGAAACAAUUCUCCAAACACAUUCCACGUGGGAAAAGCAAGGAGCAGAAAUAGGAAUCAUGUUCUCUUUCUUCUCUCCAUGCCCCUCUAUGAAAAAUCCUGAAAGAAAGAAGAAUGUGCCUGGCACAGCCCAUGGGGUGGGAAGCGCUGCCCUGGCUGGAAAAAUGCAGCAGAGAGGUCGGGGUUG